rnacentral:rRNA from 1 species
ACUCAAAUGAAUAGACGGGGGCCCGCACAAGCGGUGGAGCAUGUUGUUUAAUACGUCACUAACCGUAGAACCUUACCAGGGUUUGACAUGUGCCGACAUCCUAUGAAAGUAGGCUCUUCGCAAGAAGCGGCAACACAGGUGUUGCAUGGCUGUCGUCAGCUCGUGUCGUGAGAUGUUGGGUUAAGUCCCGCAACGAGCGCAACCCUCAUCCCAUGUUGCCAUCGGGUCAAGCCGGGAACUCUUGGGAAACUGCCGGGGUAACUCGGAGGAAGGUGAGGAUGACGUCAAGUCAGCAUGGCCCUUACAUCCUGGGCUACAAACAUGCUACAAUGGACGGUAGACAGAGGGAUCCGAGACCGUGAGGUGGAGGCAAUCUCAAAAAUCCGUUCUCAGUUCGGAUCGUAGGCUGCAACUCGCCUACGUGAAGCCGGAAUCGCUAGUAACCGCAGGUCAGCUAAACUGCGGUGAAUACGUUCCCGGGCCUUGUACACACCGCCCGU